rnacentral:pre_miRNA from 1 species
AUUAUACUCCAUCCGUCCAACAAAAGAUGUCUCAAGUUUUUCAAAAAUUGGAUGUAUCUAGACGUGACUUAGUGUAUAGAUGCAUUCAAAUUUAGUCAAAGUUAAGACAUCCUUUGUUGAACGGAGAGAGUAGUAC